UGGGGAAUCUUAGACAAUGGGGGAAACCCUGAUCUAGCCAUGCCGCGUGUGUGACGAAGGCCCUAGGGUCGUAAAGCACUUUCGCCGGGGAAGAUAAUGACUGUACCCGGUAAAGAAGUCCCGGCUAACUCCGUGCCAGCAGCCGCGGUAAUACGGAGGGGACUAGCGUUGUUCGGAAUUACUGGGCGUAAAGCGCGCGUAGGCGGGCUGGUCAGUCAGGGGUGAAAUCCCGGGGCUCAACCCCGGAACUGCCCUUGAUACUGCCAGCCUUGAGUUCUGGAGAGGUGAGUGGAAUUCCGAGUGUAGAGGUGAAAUUCGUAGAUAUUCGGAGGAACACCAGUGGCGAAGGCGGCUCACUGGCCAGACACUGACGCUGAGGUGCGAAAGCGUGGGGAGCAAACAGGAUUAGAUACCCCUGUAGUCC
rnacentral:rRNA from 1 species